rnacentral:lncRNA from 1 species
GGCUAGUUCAUAUAUUUUUAAACAUGUUUGAUUCAAUUAUUUGUGGACAUAAGAGUGAGUGUGAUUGUUAUAUUCAGAAGCAACUCUUUUUGCCAGUUAAAGAAACUACAGAAUGAUUUCUUCCUAUACUUCUCGCAUAUAUUGUAAGUAGAUCGAGGAGUUGUCCGUACUCUAUUUAUCCACUUACUAUUUGCUUAAGGAUGCUUUCAAAUUUCAAAUGCAGAUUGACGAAGAUGAGAUUUACUGGAGACAUCGAAAGGAAGAUGGAGUUGGAAUGCUCCCGUAAUUCCACUCGCUUAAUAUCUCACUUAGCUCAAUGUUUUAGUGAGUACAUUUUUCUCUUCAAGGUUCUUUGCAUUCUUGUAAGUUUCAUCUUUUUUUCAAACCUAGAAUCACUUACAAACCUCUCAACCACAAAAUAU